GCCCUUCCUACGGGAGGCAGCAGUGGGGAAUUUUGGACAAUGGGCGCAAGCCUGAUCCAGCCAUGCCGCGUGAGUGAAGAAGGCCUUCGGGUUGUAAAGCUCUUUCGGCCGGGAAGAAAUCGGCGACUCUAACAUAGUCGCUGGAUGACGGUACCGGACUAAGAAGCACCGGCUAACUACGUGCCAGCAGCCGCGGUAAUACGUAGGGUGCGAGCGUUAAUCGGAAUUACUGGGCGUAAAGCGUGCGCAGGCGGUUUUGUAAGACAGAUGUGAAAUCCCCGGGCUUAACCUGGGAACUGCGUUUGUGACUGCAAGGCUAGAGUACGGCAGAGGGGGGUGGAAUUCCUGGUGUAGCAGUGAAAUGCGUAGAUAUCAGGAGGAACACCGAUGGCGAAGGCAGCCCCCUGGGCCUGUACUGACGCUCAUGCACGAAAGCGUGGGGAGCAAACAGGAUUAGAUACCCUGGUAGUCCACGCCCUAAACGAUGUCGACUAGUCGCUCGGAGCAGCAAUGCACUGAGUGACGCAGCUGACGCGUGAAGUCGACCGCCUGGGGAGUACGGCCGCAAGGUUAAAACUCAAAGGAAUUGACGGAAGGGC
rnacentral:rRNA from 1 species